rnacentral:rRNA from 1 species
AAAUUGAAGAGUUUGAUCAUGGCUCAGAUUGAACGCUGGCGGCAGGCCUAACACAUGCAAGUCGAACGGUAACAGGAAGCAGCUUGCUGCUUUGCUGACGAGUGGCGGACGGGUGAGUAAUGUCUGGGAAACUGCCUGAUGGAGGGGGAUAACUACUGGAAACGGUGGCUAAUACCGCAUAACGUCGCAAGACCAAAGAGGGGGACCUUAGGGCCUCUUGCCAUCAGAUGUGCCCAGAUGGGAUUAGCUGGUUGGUGAGGUAACGGCUCACCAAGGCGACGAUCCCUAGCUGGUCUGAGAGGAUG